rnacentral:rRNA from 1 species
UGGUGGGAUACUACCCUGGCUGUAUGACCAUUCUAACCCGCCACGCUUAGCGCGUGGGGAGACAGUGUCAGGUGGGCAGUUUGACUGGGGCGGUCGCCUCCUAAAGAGGAACGGAGGCGCCCAAAGGUUCCCUCAGAAUGGAUGGAAAUCAUUCGCAGAGGGUAAAGGCACAAGGGAGCUUUACUGCGAGACUGACAAGUCGAGCAGGGACGAAAGUCGGGCUUAGUGAUCCGGUG